UAAUUUUCUGUAUUUUUUAUCUAGUAUUUUAUGCGCGCGACGUCCGCACGCAACGGCAACGCGUUAAGAACUGACGGCUGCUUGUCGCUCGCUUCGGCUGCUGCAGCCUGUUGUUACCGAAAGGAUCGAUAAUUGUAUUGUGCGCAAUUGGCAUCGAUAGUCGAUGUUAUCGCUGCAGCUUAGUAUGCAGCUUUUUGAGAAGUGAUUUACAUGACGUAAAAUAGGAAAACGGCAAGGACACAAAUAUAUAUAUUUUAUAAUAGUGAAAUUAUAUUUAUACGAUUUCAGCGCUGUUCCAUAUUUGCGACAAAUUGGAAGGUGUUCCUUUUAAAUUAACAGCUUAUCAAACAGAUGGAGUGUUAUUCCUGCAGUGUUGCCAACUAUCAUUUCAAAAAAAGUAUCCCAUAUCGAUGCUAGCUGAAUCUCGGCUCUGCGAGUUGCCAAUUCGCGCUUAGAAAACAAAUUGGCAAUAAACAGGCUUGAGAUGCAAUUAAAUCGCAAUUUAACUAAAAAAUAGUUGAAUUGGCAACGCUACAUCUUGCAAGAGCUUCGAUAUCUCACUGAUAAAUGCCGCAUGCAGCUCUGUUUAUAUGCAAAGUGCGUGCGUGUGCGUGAGCGUGUGCAUACGUGUGGGUGGUUGACGAUGGACAGCGGGCGGCUGACACACGCCAGGGGCACGGGUAAGGGUAAAAUACCUGCGCACCGUACCAAACACAACAAUAACGCUGCAUAUUGGCCGGGGCCAUAAAAAUGAAAGAUAACCGUAAUUAUGUCUGCACAGUAGCCAAAAACAACGGGAGAAAGCAGCGCUGACCUUCAGGGCCGGAAUAUGCACACGCACACACACACACGCAUAGACUAGUGUGCAUGCGGACAAAGCGCGUCAAAGGCUCGCAAAAAUAAAAACAACAAAGCAUAUAUGGAAACACACACACACUUGCGAAUCAGAACCGCUUUUUAUAAAUCAUUACUGCAGUGUUGUGCACAUAUUAUUGUGUAUAUUUUUUUACAUAUAAUAAACAAUUGUUAACUUA